rnacentral:rRNA from 1 species
AUGCAGUCGACGGUGAAGCCAAGCUUGCUUGGUGGAUCAGUGGCGAACGGGUGAGUAACACGUGAGCAACCUGCCCUGGACUCUGGGAUAAGCGCUGGAAACGGCGUCUAAUACUGGAUAUGAGACGUGAUCGCAUGGUCGUGUUUGGAAAGAUUUUUCGGUCUGGGAUGGGCUCGCGGCCUAUCAGCUUGUUGGUGAGGUAAUGGCUCACCAAGGCGUCGACGGGUAGCCGGCCUGAGAGGGUGACCGGCCACACUGGGACUGAGACACGGCCCAGACUCCUACGGGAGGCAGCAGUGGGGAAUAUUGCACAAUGGGCGGAAGCCUGAUGCAGCAACGCCGCGUGAGGGAUGACGGCCUUCGGGUUGUAAACCUCUUUUAGCAGGGAAGAAGCGAAAGUGACGGUACCUGCAGAAAAAGCGCCGGCUAACUACGUGCCAGCAGCCGCGGUAAUACGUAGGGCGCAAGCGUUAUCCGGAAUUAUUGGGCGUAAAGAGCUCGUAGGCGGUUUGUCGCGUCUGCUGUGAAAUCCCGAGGCUCAACCUCGGGCCUGCAGUGGGUACGGGCAGACUAGAGUGCGGUAGGGGAGAUUGGAAUUCCUGGUGUAGCGGUGGAAUGCGCAGAUAUCAGGAGGAACACCGAUGGCGAAGGCAGAUCUCUGGGCCGUAACUGACGCUGAGGAGCGAAAGGGUGGGGAGCAAACAGGCUUAGAUACCCUGGUAGUCCACCCCGUAAACGUUGGGAACUAGUUGUGGGGACCAUUCCACGGUUUCCGUGACGCAGCUAACGC